GCCCGCAGCGGCCCCUGCAUUGCGGAGCGGUACCUGAGCGGGGCGGCUCCCGCAGCCCGACAUGGCGAUGCCGCGAGGUGCGUGCUGACGGCCGGCCCCCCCCCGGGGGCGGAGUGGUGAGAUAGUUGGAAAAACGUACCUCAGGACCUGCGCUGCUGCCGCCUUCCAGCUGUGCUGGUGUGGGGCUGAGCCCUCGGGCCCUUUCCUGAGCUUCGGCGAUGAAAGAGAUGAGCGGAAGAAAAGUUGCUGCUUGAUCCGGGGAGCUAUGAGAUGUUGUCUACUUGGUGAGAUCAGCAAGUUCUAAACUCCUCAAACCAGCAGUUGCAUUAGACAAGGUCAACGGCUAAAGGCUUUCUGAGUUUAACAAAAUGCAGUGAACUUCCAGAAGGGAAAGAGCCUCUGAGGAAUAAAAAAAAAAAAAAAAGGAAAAUUGCUUCUCUGGACUUUUCCUUACAGAAGUGACCAUUACCCAACCCUUGUAACUGAGAAGACUACCAGCAGCCUGAGGACAAAGAGGAUCCUUGGAAGAGAGGCAAACUGCACGAGCUCCAACCUGCUGGAGGAAAUGAGUGAGCAGCAACAUCUCGCUUGCCUGACCUGGGUUCAUAGGAAGAAGUUUUCAGAGGGGUCAUUUGCACUGUUCUUUGGAUUGCCCCCAUUUUGUCCACGUCCUUCUUCAACAGUGAGCUGAAACACCUAUUUUUCAGGUGAGUCUCAAUGCAUUAUACGUACCUACUCACACCUUUAUGAAAUCCGCCUUUAUUUCUUGCAAUUAAACCUAGUUGGCUCGAGUUUACUGUAACUUCCCCCAACUAUCUUCUGCAGACUCGUCCCCUCAUUACUCUUCACUUUCUAUUUCACAUUUCAAUACGCAUAAACUAACUUACAAUCAUGCUUGCUCAGCUACCUACAAGAUUUGUUAGGGCACACCUACAACCUGUUAGGCUCAAACUGUACUCUAAUUACAUUCUUCAUUAUUUCUGCAGCUCUUCUCAGU